rnacentral:rRNA from 1 species
AUUGAACGCUGGCGGCAGGCCUAACACAUGCAAGUCGAGCGAGCGGCGGACGGGUGAGUAUUGUAUGGGGACUGCCCGAUAGAGGGGGAUAACUACUGGAAACGGUAGCUAAUACCGCAUACUAUCGCAUAACCCCUAUGGGAUUAUCUAGGGGGUGGGGUAAUGGCUCACAUAGGAGACGAUCCCUAGCUGGUCUGAGAGGAUGAUCAGCCACACUGGAACUGAGACACGGCCCAGACUCCUACGGAGGCAGCAGUGGGGAAUAUUGCACAAUGGGCGCAAGCCUGAUGCAGCCAUGCCGCGUGUAUGAAGAAGGCCUUCGGGUUGUAAAGUACUUUCAGUGGGGAGGCGUUACCGACAGAAGAAGCACCGGCUAACUACGUGCCAGCAGCCGCGGUAAUAC